AUCACUUCUUGGCCUUUUGGCUAAGAUCAAGUGUGAAAAAUCUUAACAAAUUAUGUGAAAAUGGCUUUCUGUUUCAUAAUAAAGCGAGUGUUUUACAAUAAAAGAAUUUGCACCUUCUGCAUUUGCAGGUAAAACCUGAGUUUGAGGAAAGAUGCACUGUGCUGUUUGGUGCCUCACCGU
ensembl:snRNA U2 U2 spliceosomal RNA